UACGUAGGGGGCGAGCGUUGUCCGGAUUUAUUGGGCGUAAAGAGCGUGUAGGCGGCCAGGUAGGUCUGCUGUGAAAACUCGAGGCUCAACCUCCAGACGUCGACGGAAACCGUGUGGCUAGAGUCCGGAAGAGGAGAGUGGAAUUCCUGGUGUAGCGGUGAAAUGCGCAGAUAUCAGGAAGAACACCAAUGGCGAAGGCAGCUCUCUGGGACGGUACUGACGCUGAGACGCGAAAGCGUGGGGAGCGAACAGG
rnacentral:rRNA from 1 species